rnacentral:rRNA from 1 species
UACAGAGGUCCCAAGCGUUGUUCGGAUUCACUGGGCGUAAAGGGUGCGUAGGUGGUGAGGUAAGUCGGAUGUGAAAUCUCCGAGCUCAACUCGGAAAUGGCAUUGGAAACUACCUUGCUCGAGGGUUGGAGGGGGGACUGGAAUGCUUGGUGUAGCAGUGAAAUGCGUAGAUAUCAAGCGGAACACCAGUGGCGAAGGCGAGUCCCUGGACAACUCCUGACACUGAGGCACGAAGGCCAGGGGAGCAAACGGG